CAGCAGCCACGGUAAUACGUAGGGUCCGAGCGUUGUCCGGAAUUAUUGGGCGUAAAGGGCUCGUAGGCGGUUUGUUGCGUCGGGAGUGAAAACCCAGGGCUUAACUUUGGGCUUGCUUUCGAUACGGGCAGACUUGAGGCAUUGAGGGGAGAACGGAAUUCCUGGUGUAGCGGUGAAAUGCGCAGAUAUCAGGAGGAACACCGGUGGCGAAGGCGGUUCUCUGGCAAUGUUCUGACGCUGAGGUGCGAAAGCGUGGGGAGCAAACAGGAUUAGAGACCCGUGUAGUCCCUGUCUCUUAUAC
rnacentral:rRNA from 1 species